UUUACUAGGUUGAGGAUUACAAAUCAUGUCAUUGUCUUACAGCCAUGGUGGGCUGAAAUGGGAUGCUGUGCCCACAAAAAUAGAGGCCUCUAACCCACCUCCCCCACUAGAUGUCGAGAGGAAGCGUAAACCUCCGAAGACACGGCAGGAGUUGCCACGUAAAAAACGUAAGAUGCUCAUUUAUUUCUAUUUUAUAUAUAUAUCUAUUCAGGUAGACUGAUUCUAUUUCUAAAAGAUGGAAGUUCAAAAUUUUAUUAAUGUUGUUCUGUCAGUGAAAUUAUAUUUAAUUGUUUUUUUGUUGUGUGUGUGUGUGUCAGGCAAGCAGAGUCAUGUUCCUCCUCCCUCCAAAGACCAGCACACCGGGGAAGCUGUAGCGGGGCCUUCAACAAUGGAAGAGGGAGACAUUGAGGAUGUGUCAGUAGCACCUUCAUCCGUACAACGGCAUGUUCGUACGGCUGCUGUGAGGGAGCAUUCGCUCACAAUGAAGAUCAGGGAUCUGAAGAAUCAAGUGAGUAAGCUGCGAUCAAAAGUGAAACAGCUGCGACAAACAAAGGUCAGCAGGUGAUAAGGAGCGGGUGAUGAAGGAACUGCAGCGUUUGCUUCCUGCUAAAGCUUUUGCUUUUGUGCGCACACAAUUACGCAUGUCUCAGCGAAAGUGUCAAGGUUACAGGUGGACCACUCAGGAUAAAGCUUUCUUCCUGUCCCUGUGGCACGCAAGUCCAAAAUGUUAUCGGCUUCUCUGCAGAGUGUUUUCUAUGCCCUCUGUCCGCACUUUGCAAAAAGCCAUCCAGGAGAGCAUUAUGGAAGAACAUGGCUACUGUAGAGUGGCCACUGAUUGUGGUGAGUAAUUAUUAAUUAUGUUGAAUAUGUUUUGCUUUCCAAUAGGGCUGGGCGAUAUGGGCAAAAAAAUUAUCACAAUAAAUUUUUUUAUAUCAGUCGAUAUCGAUAAUUAUCGCGAUAAAUGUCAAUCUU
rnacentral:lncRNA from 1 species